UACGUAGGGUCCGAGCGUUGUCCGGAAUUACUGGGCGUAAAGGGCGCGUAGGCGGCCUGUUAAGUCGAACGUGAAAUCCCCGGGCUCAACCCGGGAACUGCGUCCGAUACUGGCAGGCUUGAAUCCGGGAGAGGGAUGCGGAAUUCCAGGUGUAGCGGUGAAAUGCGUAGAUAUCUGGAGGAACACCGGUGGCGAAGGCGGCAUCCUGGACCGGUAUUGACGCUGAGGCGCGAAAGCGUGGGGAGCAAACAGG
rnacentral:rRNA from 1 species